GUGGGGAAUUUUGGACAAUGGGCGCAAGCCUGAUCCAGCAAUGCCGCGUGUGUGAAGAAGGCCUUCGGGUUGUAAAGCACUUUUGUUGGGAAAGAAAUCCUGUCGGCUAAUACCCGGCGGGGAUGACGGUACCCAAAGAAUAAGCACCGGCUAACUUCGUGCCAGCAGCCGCGGUAAUACGAAGGGUGCAAGCGUUACUCGGAAUUACUGGGCGUAAAGCGUGCGUAGGUGGGUCGUUAAGUCAGAUGUGAAAGCCCCGGGCUCAACAUGGGAAUUGCAUUGGAUACUGGCGGACUAGAGUGCGGUAGAGGAGAGUGGAAUUCCCGGUGUAGCAGUGAAAUGCGUAGAGAUCGGGAGGAACAUCAGUUGCGAAGGCGGCUCUCUGGACCAGCACUGACACUGAGGCACGAAAGCGUGGGGAGCAAACAGGAUUAGAAACCCUUGUAGUCC
rnacentral:rRNA from 1 species